rnacentral:ribozyme from 1 species
UUUUGUGAAGAGUUUUUUGUUAUCUUUUUUUUCUUUUUUGUUUUUUGUAAACUCUUCCUUUUUUCUUUCAAACCUCUUUUUGUU